rnacentral:rRNA from 1 species
UACGUAGGGUGCAAGCGUUGUCCGGAAUUAUUGGGCGUAAAGAGCUCGUAGGCGGUCUGUCGCGUCGGCUGUGAAAACCCGAGGCUUAACCUCGGGCCUGCAGUCGAUACGGGCAGACUAGAGUUCGGUAGGGGAGACUGGAAUUCCUGGUGUAGCGGUGAAAUGCGCAGAUAUCAGGAAGAACACCCGUGGCGAAGGCGGUUCUCUGGGACGGUACUGACGCUGAGACGCGAAAGCGUGGGGAGCGAACAGG